AUUGAACGCUGGCGGCAGGCCUAACACAUGCAAGUCGAACGAGUGGCGGACGGGUUAGUAAUGUCUGGGACACUUCCUGAUGGAGGGGGAUAACUACUGGAAACUGUAGCUAAUACCGCAUACCAUCCGAUUUGCCCAAAUUGGAUUAGGUUGUUGGUGGGGUAACGGCUCACCAAGGCGACGAUCCCUAGCUGGUCUGAGAGGAGGACCAGCCACACUGGAACUGAGACACGGUCCAGACUCCUACGGGAGGCAGCAGUGGGGAAGAUUGCACAAUGGGCGCAAGCCUGAUGCAGCCAUGCCGCGUGUAUGAAGAAGGCCUUCGGGUUGUAAAGUACUUUCAGUGGGGAGGCGUUACCCGCAGAAGAAGCACCGGCUAACUCCGUGCCAGCAGCCGCGGUAAUUC
rnacentral:rRNA from 1 species